rnacentral:lncRNA from 10 species
CCUGGCACUUCUCUCCUCUCUCUCUCUCUCUCUCUCUCUCUCUCUCUCUCGCUUCCUCUGUUUUUGUGUGAUCUCUGCACAUGAGUAGAAGCAUCCUGAAUCCCUCACCAGAUGCCCAGUGAUCCAGCCAGCAGAAUUGUGAGCCAAGAUUUGUUACUUGAUCUCCAUGUGUAUAUGCAAAUAUUUGCCUGUAUUUAUUGUCAUCAUCAUACUUUGGGCACUGGCCAUGCUACCUCUGUGAGGAAAGAAGGGAAAGGAAAGGAAAAAUAAGAAAAGAA